rnacentral:tRNA from 1 species
AAUGUGGCGUAAUGGGAGCGCACUGGUCUCAUAAUCCAGAGGAGUAGGAUCGAAACCUAUCAUUGC